rnacentral:rRNA from 1 species
UACGUAGGUGGCAAGCGUUAUCCGGAUUUAUUGGGCGUAAAGGGAACGCAGGCGGUCUUUUAAGUCUGAUGUGAAAGCCUUCGGCUUAACCGGAGUAGUGCAUUGGAAACUGGGAGACUUGAGUGCAGAAGAGGAGAGUGGAACUCCAUGUGUAGCGGUGGAAUGCGCAGAUAUCGGGAAGAACACCGAUGGCGAAGGCAGAUCUCUGGGCCGCAACCGACGCUGAGGCGCGAAAGCUAGGGGAGCGAACAGG